GCGGCGGUGCCGGCUAUCGAGCGGCGACAGGCGCACUUCACAAUCGAUGCGACCCAGGUGCCCUCACUGGUGCGGCCGGCCGGGUUCGAACCCGCUCCGCCGCA
rnacentral:tRNA from 1 species